CCAAGACUGGGUAAUUUGUAAAAAGCAAAACAACAACAACAAACCAGGAAUUUAUUUCCCACAGCUUCUGAAGUCUGGGAAGUCCAAGCUCAAGGUGAAGUCUCCUCAGGUGGCAGAGAGCAGAAGCACACAAGAGACCAAACUCCCUCCCUCAAGCUCUUUUACAAGAACACUCAGACAUUCACAAGAGCUGAACCCUCAAGCCUGCUCACCUCCUGAAGGCUACACCUCUAAUACGGAUUGAACUUUCGCAUGAGUUUUGAGGGAGAGCCAUUCAAAGCCUAGCACCCUUCGACUUCAGAGAAGCUCCGGCCCUGCUCUCACCAAGCCGGUUCCCCCUAGGCAGAGCGCCAAGAAGCAGCCCAGGCGAUCCCAAGGCUCACAAGUGCUCUCAUCAGGCUGCGCGCUGGCCGGUCAGUGCACCAGGGCAGGGCCGCCGCCCACGCGCGCUUGGUUCAGGCAGUCCAGGCUGCCCCCACUGGCGGCUACAAAAGCGCGCCGAGUCUUCCUGUCCACCCAGUCGCCCCACAUGUCAGCGGUUGGUCGCCUCGCGGUGCAGCGCUGGGCACGCGAGCCCCUCCCGCAGCCAUUCGCAGCACAAGCACCACCCGCAGCGACAGAGCUAAGAGCCCCCACGCCGCAGAGGUCGCGCGGAGCAGAUUUGAUGGAGUGAAACAGAGCCCAGCUGCUGGAGCAGAGGCACCUGCUCGAGUCCCACGGACACCCGCAGCCCAAUCCCCGGAGGCCAGUGGGGCUCACGGUGAGUGUGGGGCUGCUUCAAACAGUGGGCGUGCUCAGCUGGGAGUGGGUUUGGUUUGGCUUCGCUUGGUUUGGUUCAAAGGGGCAGAAGUCUGCAUCUCAGCUGUCUUAAUGUGAAUGUGGGGUCUUGUGACAGGGUCUCUUCUGUAUCAUGGGGGUGGAUCUGCACCCUGCCUGAUGGCCCGACUGCUUUGCCAGACCCUGCCUGCUUGGUCUUUACCGGCUUGCUCCUGCUGUGUAUGAUUACAGCGUUGGCAUGGGACCGCCUUUCCCCUGUUUCAUGUUGGUACUGGGAAGCCCUUUUGCAACCACUCCUUUAAUAUCCUCCUCUCUCCUGGGAGAAGCUGGAGAGAGCUACAGGUCGUGGGGACCUCCUCUGGGAGAAGGAGAUGGAGAAAAACACCAGAUCCCCUCCAUCUUCUGCAGCUGUUUUGAG
rnacentral:lncRNA from 10 species